UGCCAGCAGCCGCGGUAAUACGAAGGGACCUAGCGUAGUUCGGAAUUACUGGGCUUAAAGAGUUCGUAGGCGGUUAAAAAAGUUGGUGGUGAAAUCCCAGCGCUUAACUCUGGAACUGCCAUCAAAACUUUUUAGCUAGAGUAUGAUAGAGGAAAGCAGAAUUUCUAGUGUAGAGGUGAAAUUCGUGGAUAUUAGAAAGAAUACCAAUUGCGAAGGCAGCUUUCUGGAUCAUUACUGACGCUGAGGAACGAAAGCAUGGGUAGCGAAGAGGAUUAGAUA
rnacentral:rRNA from 1 species